ACGAACGCUGGCGGCGUGCUUAACACCUGCAAGUCGAACGGAAAGGCCCCUUUGGGGGUACUCGAGUGGCGAACGGGUGAGUAACACGUGAGUAACCUGCCCUUGACUUCGGGAUAACUUCAGGAAACUGGGGCUAAUACCGGAUAGGAAUCCUUGCUGCAUGGUGGGGGUUGGAAAGCUUCGGCGGUUUUGGAUGGACUCGCGGCUUAUCAGCUUGUUGGUGGGGUAGUGGCUUACCAAGGCUUUGACGGGUAGCCGGCCUGAGAGGGCGACCGGCCACAUUGGGACUGAGAUACGGCCCAGACUCCUACGGGAGGCAGCAGUGGGGAAUAUUGCACAAUGGGCGGAAGCCUGAUGCAGCAACGCCGCGUGCGGGAGGACGGCCUUCGGGUUGUAAACCGCUUUCAGCAGGGGCGAAGCUUGUGGUGACGGUACCUGCAGAAGAAGCACCGGCUAACUACGUG
rnacentral:rRNA from 1 species